rnacentral:rRNA from 1 species
GCACAGAUGCUGCAUGGCUGUCGUCAGCUCGUGCCGUGAGGUGUUGGGUUAAGUCCCGCAACGAGCGCAACCCUCGCCGCCAGUUACCAUGUCUGGCGGGACCGCCGGGUCCAACCCGGAGGAAGGUGGGGAUGACGUCAAGUCAGCAUGGCUCUUACGCCUGGGGCUACACACACGCUACAAUGGCCGGCACAAGGGGCUGCGAAGGGGCGACCCGGAGCGAAUCCCGCCAAAGCCGGUCCCAGUUGGGAUCGCAGGCUGCAACUCGCCUGCGGAACGCUGGGUUGCUAGUAACCGCAGGUCAGCACACUGCGGUGAUACGUUCCCGGGCUUGU